GGAACGGAUUUCUCCUCACAGCCCUCAGAAGAAACCAACCCUGUCACCAUUUUGAUCUUGGACUUUAGCCUCUGGAACUGUGAGACAAUACAUUUCUGUUUGUUUCAGCCACCUAGUUCAUAGUACUUUGAAGUGACCUUUACACCACUCUCACUUAGAGAUGAGGUCUGUGUCCCCUCCUCUUGAAAUUGAGUGGCUUUUGUGACUGUGUACACAGGUAGAGUAAACUGCAGAGCUGCCUGUCUGUGACUUCCAAGGCUAGGUCAUAAAAGGAGAUAAAGCUUCUUCCUGGCUGGUUGGGCUGCUUGCUCUUGAAGCCUUCAGUCUCUAUGCACGCAGCAUGCCUUCCCAGCCUCCUGUGGUUGUAGAGUGUAUAGAAGGCAGUUGGAUCACUAUGGACAGCGGGUAAGAGCUGAGGAAGCAGCCUCCGCCAGGUGGUAACAUGGAGGACCCUGAAGCAGGCCAAUUAAAUCAAGCAUAUUCCUCAGUAUCAUGGAGAGACUGGAGGUUAGAGACACCAAAACCAUCCCUGGCUUAAUGACUUUGGGAUCCCUGGGCCCCUCCAUGCAGCAGAACGGCAAUUAACCAAGCCACACCCUGAAUUGUACUCUGUUACCUUAGAAGUAGUGCAUUUGAUGGUUGUUUUGAAAAAAUAAAUGAAUGAAGGAGGACCAGUUCAUAUUACCCUUCAAAAAGGCAUAGACCAUUGGCCAUUCUCUGACCAUCUCAAGCCAGAGGUGACUUGAUCUGUCACCCAGCUGUGGCCCAUGAGCAUUAUCUAAGGAGGAACAUUUUUGCUUACGUUUCCAGUGCUCUACAUAAGCCCUAGGCCCUGGGUAUAUGCAUAGGAGCGAAAUUACUGAAUAACUUACGUGAAACAUUUUGACGAACUGUCAUAUUGUUACCCAAAGUGAUUGCACUGUUUUACAAAUCAUAUUGGCAAGAAAUACUACUUUCAUGGCUCUGGCUAUGAACAUCAGCAUAUAGAGAAUGGAUCACUACCAAAGAAGGCACCCGAAUGUGUCUGUCUCAUCCUGGGGAAACUCAUUCAUCUGUAUAUGUACUCAGCAAGUGUUUCCUGGCACCUGCUCUGGGUCACAGUGCUGGGCACUGGAAGCUGAGAGAUGUGGAAGAAGGCUGGACAUUCAAGAUGAGAAGCCCGAGGCUGGUAAACUAGAGUCCAAGGGCAGAAAGCUGCUGAGCCAACCUAAAUGUGCAGUCCCAUCUCUCCCAAAGAUCCCAGGCCAGCCGGAGCUGAAUGCAAGAACUAUUUAAGAAGCCUCAGCUCCUCUUCACUCCCAGGGACAAUGGCUGGAGGAAGAAAUGAGAGGAUCUCUAUACCCAGGCCUUGGCUUCUAUGUCCCUUCUCGAAGUGGUUGAAGUGCAGAUUUCUGAUUCUGUACCCAGCCUCCAGGGACACAGUACACAGUAUGCUGGGAAUGGCGGUGGGUGUUUGAGGUACAUUACUUCCAGACAAAACAUGGCUGCAGAGGGAUACCAAAAGCAUCUUCUGGUGGCUGAAGCCCUGUCUGCACAAGUGUCUGUGUUCUUCAAUGGUUCAGGCAAGCUCAGACAGACCCUCUGCUUCUCUUAACCUGAGACACUAGUUUCCCCAAGAACUUUGAGCUGAAGGUUCCUUGCUGUGUCCCCUACCUGGCUGUGAGGACUUUGAGUAUAAUUAUCCUAUCUUAUUUGUUGCUGUGCUCCCAGUGUCUUGGAUGGAGCCUGACAUCUAGUCAGUGUUAGUAAAUGUUGAUGUGUAUUGAAUUUUGCAAGGAUCUGCAGCCCUGAGAAGAGGGGAUACUUCUUGGAAACCUCUGUGGGCUAAAUUGAGGGUUAAGGACUGGGACUGGAAGGCAGAGAUUCCAGAGUGAUAACCACAGUAGUUACUAUUUCAUGAGAGCCUCCAUGUGCCAGCCUCUAAGCUAGGCCCAUACCAUGCAUUACCUCUUGUCCCCACUUUACAGAAACUAAGGCUUAGACAAGUUAAGCAACUUGCUAAAGAUCAAACAACUCAAUAUGUGUUGGAGUCAAAUGAACGCAUUUCUUUUCCAUUUCCCUCAUUUACUCCACUAAUGACAGUACUUAAAUUGUAGACUAGGAAUUAAAAUAGCAGAAGCCUGACUUGAGAGGGCAGAGCCCCUGCGUUUGAGUGCCUGAAAGUCAGUCAUGGGUAGAAAGAACAGUCUUGUAGCAGAGCUCUGGGCAAGGGAGGAGCCGUGAGCAGGUGGACAUGAACUCACUGUGACAACUCUCCAACAGUGAAAGCAGGUUCCCAUGGAAUCCAGGGAAAUUACUGAAUAACUUUCAACACAAAAAUGUGUGCUAGUGAGCUGUAGAGCCUUUAUAUCCCCCCAAAACAUAUUAUGGGGGUGGGGGGGGGGCGCGGAAUUCUGAAUUUUUGUUGUUGUUGUUGUUGUUGAGACAGAGUUUUGCUGUUGUUGCCCAGGCUGGAGUGCAAUGGCACAAUCUUGGCUCUCCACAACCUCCGCCUCCUGGAUUCAAGCGAUUCUCCUGCCCCAGCCUCCAGAGUAGGGGCUGGGAUUGUAGACAUGCGCCACCACGCCUGGCUAAUUUUGUAUUUUUAGUAGAGAUAGGGUUUCUGCAUGUUGAUCAGGCUGGUCUCGAACUCCUGACCUCAGGUGAUCCACCCGCCUUGGCCUCCCAAAGUGCUGGGAUUACAGGUGUGUGCCACGGCGCCCGGCCUAAGUAAAUAGUUUGGAAAGCUGCAUCCAAUAGUCUCUUUUGAAGAUUCACAAUGCACCCUAGCUUGUUAACUAUUCCAAGAAGUCCCCGGAAAAGAAUGCUUGUUUGACUUUCUUGAAUCCAGUGUUGCCCAUGUUUAUUUGACUAGUGAGCAGGUUUUUUUGUUUGUUUGUUUGUUUUUUAAGUGACACUUUUUAACACUCUGAGGCAGUAAUAUUGUACUGAACACAUGGGGAAUCUUCUGUGGAAGUUUGGCCUGGAAUACAUCCUCUGUGUUCCUUCUCGCCCCGUGGCUGAGUGAGUGUGCUGUAAAAGCUUAGUGACAGAAAAGCCCCACUUAGCCUAUUUGUGAUGAUUUCCUAAACCGGGCAAAUAACUCAUCUGAAUGGCUGAGGUGAUAAACUCACAGGAGGAGAAGAUGCUGGAGGAAGUGUCAUGUGUCCUGCAUGUAGGUACCACUUCACCUCCCAGCAAGGCGAUGCUGAUAGCAACGUUUUCCUUGGGUGUUGAAUUUUCCAUCCUGCAAUUACGUCUUAAGCCAUAGAUAAAAUUCACAUCCACGUUUCACUCAAGAUAAACCUAACAUCAUAAUAAUACAGAAGAUUAAUUCAUUGGGGAAAAAUAGAAGAAAAUUGGUCUUGGCUUAAAGAGAAGUCAACAUUUAGAAUGUGUAGAAGGGGAUUUCUUCUGGAUCACACUCUGUCCUCAACAGUGGCAUGUGAAAAUGUAUGUGGUUCGCUUUAGUGCAUGCAUGUUUGUGCCUGUCCCACUGACACAUCCACAGUGUGACCCAUAGAGGUCCACUUCUAAGACCCCUAACUCUGAGUCCAACCCACCCUUUUGGGCUCACUGCAGUCAUUUCUCUCUGAAGUCUUCCUUGACAACCUAGGCAUCAUCAGUUUUUCUCUUCUCUGAUCAUCUUAGCAAGUGUAUCCAUAAGCUAUAAUCACAAUCAUGCUGCAUAACAAAACCAAAAACUCAAUGGCCAAUAACAAUGAACAUUUAUUUUUUGUUUUCAUGUCUAGAGGCCAGGUGGGGGGUGGCUGAUCUAAGCUGGGUUUUGCUCUAGGUUAGAUUUAGUCUAGGUUGGCCUCACAUGUCUCUCAUUCUUCAGGUGUCAGGAGGCCACCAUGGGCCUGAUCUUCAGGACAGAUGCCUCUUAAGACUUGGGCUUUGACUCAUACACUGUUACUGCCACCCAUGUCCUGUUGGCCAAAGUCAAUUUCAUUACCAAGCCCAAGAUCUGUGGAGUGGAGAAAUGCAUUUUGAAGGGGAGGGAGUCAAUCUGUAAUGAGCACCAUGAUGUACCAUAGAGCAUUUGUAGUCAUGAGCCUGAUUUAGACACUUGGUGGGGUAUCUCUGUGCUCUUAGGAAUUGUGUCUCUGUGUCUGUCAGAGGUGAUAACAUUGGAGCUGAGCCUUAAAAAAUAAAAGUUUCCUCAAACACCUCUGUGACUUCUGUGAUGCCUUCUGUUCACCACCCACAGUAGCACUGAAGGAAGAAAAGUAGUAACAUGUGAAGUGCAUAGGCAGCCCAGGGAGUCAUGCAUCCUAGUUCUGCAAGGAGGGUGCCCCUAGCCAGCCCUUGAUUGCCUCCCAGUUUUGGAGUUUGUAAGAGUCACAAAUAAUCACACUUCCCUCUCCUCAAAGUUCUGAACCAACUAAAAAUUAUACAUGGGAAUUUGAUGGGGAUGAAAAUAUGGACUUUAUAAGUAAAAAUGAAUUUGAGAACAGCUUGGACCUGAAGCUGAAGGGGUUUCCUUGAUACUUUUCAUCUGGAUCCUGUAGUCCACCUGAGGGUAGUUGUGGGUCUUCAUGGUGGACUUUUAACCAGAUGCAUGAAAAAUUGUGGCCAGGAGAGAGGCCACACCUGAGAGGGAUGUUUACACAUGAGAAACAUAGACCAGUGGGUGUCAGCCUCUUGCCACCUCAACAAUUAUGCCAAUUUCUCCUACACACAAAUGAAGGAGAGAAGAGCUAAGUGUGAAAGGAAAGAUGGAACUCUGUCCUCCCCAUCUAAUCCGGGAUGGAAGCUGUCUGUUGCAGGGACCAGCAUGAGGUGGGGAGGAAGGAUGACCCCGGUGAUCUAGAAAAUGGGACUGAUGCUAUUUAGACGGCUGCCAUCACUGAGUCAGCGGGUGUGGGCUUCUUUAUGCACUUGCUAGAAAUGGGCCAUCAGGCCACUCCUAGUGUGCCCUGGAGCAACUUGUUCUUGUCUGCAAGUCCAGAUGCAGAACACCUAACUCCACUCCACUUCAUCCCCAAAUCCCAACCCGUCUUCACUCAUUUCCGACUGAACCAAGCCACCUGAGUGUCGUGAGUUCACCUGUGUGUUCUUGCCAUCUCCUGGGAUGGAGUCCCCACAGGUCAGAACACUUGAACUCAUUGUGUAGAACCAGAUUCUCUCCCACACUUUUCUCUCUCCUCUCAGAGGCCAAUUUGUUCUGCAGUCAAUUCUGCAGAAGUUAGAAAUAAAGCAUGGUGACCAAUCAGAGAUGAGAGAGGGUGUGGUUGGGCUGAGAGUCACUUUUCAGAGCUUAUGAAAAGCUGCAAACCCGGUGGAUGGCUUACACUCUUUCCUCAAGGGCAACACACUGAGUGAGAGGGUGCUGGAGGGGGAUGCUGGGGAAAGCGAGCUUGUAUUCAAGGAGGCCUGUGGUGUCAUUAUUUACAGUGUCACACCUGAUCCUCCCAACGACCCCAUCUCUAGGCUCUGGAAGUUAGUGGUUAAGAGCACAUCUCUCAGGCUUGUUCACAUACAGUUGUGUGACCUUGGGCAAGUCUCUGUGCCUCAGUUUACUCAUCUGUAGAAUGUUGGUAGAGGAGGAUAUUAAGAGUAACUACCACAUAGUGGUGCUGGGAGGAUAAAAUGAUUUAAUAGAUGUGAUGGGCAGCUGUGGGGAUGGCUCCCAGUGAUCCCUGUCUCCAGGUAUCCAUGCCCUUGCUUGUAAGGAAGAGAAUAUGGCAAAGUUGAUAGGCUGUCUCUUCCAAGAUCAGGUUACAAGAGACUGUGAACUCCCUCUUGCUUACUUUCUCUUACUCUCUUUCUUACUCCAGUGGAAACCAACAGCGUGUUACGAGCUGCCCAGUGGAGAAACCCACACUACAAGAAACUGUGGAUGGCCUCCUCUGGUCAAUAGCCAGCUAGGAAUAAGGCCUUCAUCCAAUAGCCCAUGAGGAACUGAAUCCUGCCAAAAACCACACACGUGAGCUUAGAAGCAGAUCUUUCCCCAGUAGAGCCUUGAAAUGACUGCUGCCCCCACCUGACACCUUAACUGUGGUCUGUGUGAGACUCUGAAACAGGGGGCCCAGCUAAGCCAAGCCCAUAUUCCUGACCCACAGACGCUUUGAGAUAAUAUUGAAUAAAUUCUUGUGGUGUUAAGCCACUGAGUUUUAGGGUAAUUUGUUAGACAGCGAUAGAUAACGAAGACAAUACAUUAACAAUUCUUAAGAUACCCAGUGGAUAGUAAACCUUCAAUAGAUAUUGACUGUCUUUAUUAUUAAUAUCUCAGUUUCACAGAUGAGACAAAUGAGGCUCAGAGUGACUUCCCAGAGUUCGACAGUUAAUAUGCAGUAGAGUAGGGGCUCUGCCUUUGUUCUAUCUGACUUCAAAGUCAGUGCUCUCAAAGCAUCACUAUUUGGAAGACUCAGCUCCUUGAGGUGCCUAAGCAGGAUUUGUAGAAAAACAGAGGGCAGAUUUCCAUGGGCUGCCUUAGAUAGGUGAAUGACCCCUUAAGGCUGUAGAGGGCCAGGCCUAGGGCUGGGGAGAGCCAUGGCCAGCUCUUCAGGGAGUCUACAUGGGUAGGAGGACUAGCUCCUGCACCCAAACUUCACUAGGGGCUAGGUCUUCCAGCACAUGGGAGAACCAACGCAUGGCUGAGUCUGCUCCUAGAGUUUGUAAGAUGCUGUGUACUGAGAAAUGGAGCUCUGGUCUCUCCUCGCCCUCUGCUAUAGUUUCAAUGUGUUCCCCAAAAAGCAUGUGUUGGAAACUUAAUCCCCAAUGCAACAGUGUUGGGAAGUAGGGCCUAAUGGGAGGUGUUUAGGGCAUGAGGUCUCUGUCCUCAUGAAUGGAUUAAUGCCGAUUAUAAAAGGUCUUGAGCAUGUGAGUUCAUUCUCUUGCUCUCUCACAAUGCUGUCUUGCCCUUCCACCGUGAGCCAUGGGAUGAUGUAGGAAUCAUCCCAUGAUUGGUGGCACCUUCAUAUUAGACUAUGUUGGACUUCGCAGCCUCCAGAACUGUGAUAAACAAAUACCUUAUAAGUUACGACACCUCUGAUAUUGUGUUAUAGCAACACAAAACAGACUGAGACUCUUUCUCUCAUUCCCUCUGGGAGCUCAUGAACUAGGAGCCUGAGAUAAGCCCCAUUCAGAGGAGUCUCAUCUGAGCAAAGGCCGUUUUCGUUGCUAUCCUAUCAUGCUAUAGACAGCAAUGAUGAAUCAACUUAGCUGAUCGGAGGGCAGUCAGCACCAUCAGAAACAACAUGUCCUCUUAGCACAGUAACUGCUGGGAACAUCUACAAGAUUCCUCAGGGUGUAUGGGCAACAGACACAGGGAGCGUGCAGAGAGGCAGGUGGCACAGCCCCUGAUAUCUGCGGUGGUGAGACGCACAAUGGGAGCAGAUUCAAGCUUCACCACACAGACACUCAAAGAAUCAACGGAUACACGGAGACACCCAGGCACCUGCAUUAAUACCCAUAUACUCCCAGACACAUGGCCACACUCAUAGACACACCUACAGAAUGACACACUCAGACAUUCAGUGUGAAAGACACAAAUGCUCAGAUAAAUGCCCAGGUGGUAGGGAGGAACAUUAAAAUCCCACAACUCAUGUUUCCAGGGAGGGGAAGUCUUUUCCAUUGCACCAUGCAGGAGGGAAAAGUAUUGAAGGAACACUUCUUGCCCUUGUCCAUCCCCUCACCCAUUUCUCCCCAGAGGAGAGUUGGUGAGUUUGGGGGAGGAACAGAGCAUGCUCAGUCUAGUCUCCCCUAGGGCUUCUCUGUCUUUUACCCUGCCUGCCUGCAGAGGGGAAACAACAUUCUCAUCAGUCCUCUGGUACUGGGUGGCCUCUCAGGGUCGGCUUGGCCCCUCUGGGGAGUUGCCUGGUGUGACCAGUGCCGAUGGACACGUCUAUCUAAUUCAUUGGGGAAGAAUUUGCAGACCCUUUGGCUACAUAUCCAAAGCCACAUUCUUUACUUGACUGUACCCAGUAAUAGAGCUGACAUUCUGAUCUUCACCUCUAUCUCUGAGGCCUUAUUUCUCAGUUGGUGUCAAACUUGCGAUUCCCCGGUUCCAACACCAAAUAUUCCCACUUAGAGGAAAAACAGAAACAUGGACAAAUGUUCAAAGACACAGCAGAGAAACAUAGAUGAGAUGGUACAUUUGCUCUCCUGAGUGGAGGGAGGAUGGUUAGAAGAGCAGUUCAUGAGUCUGGCUGGGUGUUAGAAUCACCUGGGAAGAAUUACAAAUAGGUACUCAUGUCUGGGUCCUACUCCAGACAAACUGAUUCAGAAUCUACUGGGUCAGGGCCUGGGCAGUGGUCAAUUUUAAAGCUCCCCAGGUGAUUCUAACAGGCAGCUUCCCCACUCCCCAGCACUCCAUGAGGAGCAAAAGAGUGUUGGUGACUGGGGGCCUAACCCAUCGGUCACAGACCUCCCUCAGACGUCACUUGCUUCCAGCUAUAGCUCCAAAUUUCUCUCCUAUGGACAUUCUGGGGAUUCUGGUAGCAGCUGAGGGCUGUGCACUAAGCAGGCAAUUGCCUUUGGCUGCUGCUCUUCUGACUCUUCUAACUCUUCUGGUGGACCAUGGGGGCUGUCUCACCACUCUUCAAGCAGAAGUCCCUCACUCCUGCCUUGGAUCCCCAACACGUACGGAUGCUUAGGUCGACAUGGUAUUUUUCCUCUUGCUUUCAGUCUAGCUUCCUGUUGCAUCUCUGCUUGGUUGGCCCCUGGCAGAGCAGGUGCACAGGACACCGAGUGGAGAACUGGCCCCAGUGACAGUGGCUCGGCACAUGCUCUUCAUCCCAUAGCCAAAGGCACUUUCUUUGUGAUGCAUGGAGGCCAAACUCUUCUGCCAGCAACAGAGAAGCAAGGCCAGGCUGAUGGCUGCAAAAUGAGAGCGUGGUGUAAAGAUGGGAGCAGAGGUGGCGUGUACCCAUCCAGUGGCCUUGAUGCUUCUGUGAAUAUGGAG
rnacentral:lncRNA from 1 species